AGUGAACGCUGGCGGUAGGCCUAACACAUGCAAGUCGAACGGCAGCACAGUAAGAGCUUGCUCUUACGGGUGUCGCGUGGCGGACGGGUGAGGAAUACAUCGGAAUCUACUUUUUCGUGGGGGCUAACGUCGGGAAACUUACGCUAAUACCGCAUACGACCUACGGGUGAAAGCAGGGGAUCUUCGGACCUUGCGCGAUUGAAUGAGCCGAUGUCGGAUUAGCUCGUUGGCGGGGUAAAGGCCCACCAAGGCGACGCUCCGUAGCUGGUCUGAGAGGGUGAUCAGCCACACUGGAACUGAGACACGGUCCAGACUCCUACGGGAGGCAGCAGUGGGGAAUAUUGGACAAUGGGCGCAAGCCUGAUCCAGCCAUACCGCGUGGGUGAAGAAGGCCUUCGGGUUGUAAAGCCCUUUUGUUGGGAAAGAAGAGCAGCAGGUUAAUACCCCGCUGUUCUGACGGUACCCAAAGAAUAAGCACCGGCUAACUUCGUG
rnacentral:rRNA from 1 species